ensembl:rRNA 5S_rRNA 5S ribosomal RNA
GUCUACGGCCAUACCACCCUGAACACACCAGAUCUUGUCUGAUCUCGGAAGCUAAGCAGGGUCAGGCCUGGUUAGUACUUGGAUGGGAGAAAUCUCAGGGGGUUAACA